ensembl:lncRNA
GUUAAUACACUCUACUGAUCCCUGAUGGGAGCAUCAUCACCUCUGCCAACAAAGAAGCCUGGUGGAUGUUUGUUUGCAGUCUGAUGAUGGGAGAUCAUGCUGUGCAUCUUCAAAGUUUGUCUCUUGAUUAUUAUUCAUACACAGUAAUGUGAAGCAUGCUCAUAUCUAGUAUAACUGAACCAACCUGGUGCUCUUCAUUUAUGGAGGCUGUUGAGUCUGAAUGUUGGAUGUUGUGUAUCUCGUGUUCUCUGGGCUUUGUUGUCCUCAGUCUUUUUGCAGGAUCAGAAAACAAAACCAGAAUGACCGUAAAUGUUUCUUCUCCAAUUGGAUGAUGAUAAGACCGUGACAUGGGAUGCCACCUUUAGUCUUGUGAUGAAGCAAAGCUCAGGAAGAAGUAUGAUUAAAUGGUACCCACAUGUGUGCUGCUGAGAAGGAUGUACAGGGGCACCUGCAGCCAAAUCCAAGUCUCCUCAGAGGAGCAGUUUGUGCUCACAGAUGGUGACGGUGUGGAGAGACGGUGGUGUUUCCUCAGAAGAACUAGCAGAGUCACAAAGGGCACGAGUCCUUCUCACCACCUUGACUUGCUGACUGAUGCUCAUCUGCACUGCACAGAGGAAAUCAACUGACCGAGGUUUGUCCAGUGACGUGUUAUGAAAUGUAUAUUUGUUUUAUGCUUACAGAUAUGUUUUUCUUGACAGAGGGACUCUGCAGAGGUUAGACAAAGCAGAGAAAACAUGUGCUUUACAUUUUACUGUGAUUUACUGGGAUAUUUGUUGCCUGAUGUUUAGCAGGAAUGGAGGAAUGGAAUCAAAGGGAGAAGUUUUUACUGUUUUUCUAAUGAUGUAAGUAAAUCUUCAAUAUUAUUUAUUUGCUUGGUUAUAUUAGGAGUGUUUCUGAGUGAGGGAGAGAGGAGUCAUCAUCCAGGUAAAGUGACGUGGAUCAGUGGAUACACUUGUCUCACCUUUAAAGGAGAUACUCUUAGAGAGAGACGAAUCGUAAUGAUCAUGAUUACAAUGAUGACAGCGAGCGGAACUAAGACUGUAAAAAUCCACGACCAGAAUGUUUAGAUGCUUUCUAAUUAUUCAUGAAUACUGAGAGCCUCUUUCUGUGUUUUGUCUGUUUUGUUUUUUUUUACCUCAUUUGUUACUAACAAAGAUCACCAAACUCACACAGUUUACAUUCUGUAUGUUUCCAUCUUUACCAGCCACACUCUGCCUGCAAUUAAGAAAAUAAUCCUUAGCAAUCGUCAUUUUUCUCUUUUGUAAUUGAUGAUAAUUCAGUGAAUAUACUGCGCUGCUUCCUUUUAUUGCGUCUCAUAUUGCUUUAAGUUUUUCAGUGUACAGUUAUUUUUUUACUUCUGUUUGAAUUAAGAUAAGAUAAGAUAACCUUUAUUAGUCCCACACGUGGGAAAUUUCUCUGUAUGUUUGACCCUGUAGACUGUUUGAUGGACUGCUUGUCUUCCUGUUUGUAACCGCCGCCUGUUUUUGACUAAAGAUUUGGAUUUCUGACUUUAACACAGCCUCUGCGUGUCCUCCCUUUGUGUCCUCUUCCUCUGUGAAUGUGUUGCAUGUGUCACAGAUUCAUUUUAUUAACAGCUUUCCCACAGUGAAUUGCAUCAGCAUUCACUCACAGCACAUUGCAGAAGGAUUCAGAUUAAUACAGUGAUCUUACAGUCAGCAUUAUCCUGACAGAGUGCCACUGUAAAUUAUCUUUCAUCAGGUCAAUUUUAAAGUUCAGUAUUUCAAAGCAGGAGUUAUGAAGAAUCAUAUUGGCAUUAGGACUGUAACAAUAUGUACUUACAAAGUCAAAGUUUUUUUUAAUUAUGUUAGAAUAUUGGAAGAGAAUCAACUUUUAGUGUUUUCUGCAUAUUAAUUAUACUGAAAUAGAGAUGGUGACCCUAACUGUACAGAAGUAUACUAAACAACUGACAAUCUAACAAACAUUACUGGCCUGAGCCAUCAUGCACAGUGAGUCUGAUCCUGUGCUGUGAGAGUCUGAUAAGCAUGUUUCUGGUCAGUUUGGAAGAAAU